rnacentral:lncRNA from 1 species
CUCUUCUCCCAGUCCAUCUUCUGUCUUUUCCUCUAUGCUAAAGUACUACAAAUUAUGUCUUUUUGUUUGCCCAGCACUACAUUUUCAAUAUACCCCAGUAAGUUUGAUAAAGCUUAGUUUUUGGCAAAUCAUACGACAAACAUGUUUUCCACCAUUUUUUUCUUAUUAUAUUUACAUAAUGUUCCAACCGUUAUCUUCAAAAAUGACAUGCACUAAUUAAUGCAGAAAAUAGGCAUCCGAGUUUACAGUCUGUCCU